UAGCGCGGUGGUCCCACCUGACCCCAUGCCGAACUCAGAAGUGAAACGCCGUAGCGCCGAUGGUAGUGUGGGGCUUCCCCAUGCGAGAGUAGGGAACUGCCAG
rnacentral:rRNA from 1 species